AAAAAAACCUAAUCAUAUACAUUUAAGCUAAUCUCAGAACCAAGUCAUAGCCACCAAACCUAAUCACAGAAGCUUAUUUUCUCAACCUCGCUGCCACCAAACCUCACCCAUAGCCACCACCGUCGCCCCUCGUCGCACUUCGCCGUUAUCGCCACCACCAUCUCAACUUCGUCUUCUUCGUAACUCUCGCUUAUGAGCUUCGUGACAUUCUGGACCUUCAGCGCUUCUCAUUUAUGUUGAUUUGCGCUUCUCAUUCCUUAAACAUUUCUCAGCUUUUUAAGUCGAUUUCAGUUUCAAUUUAUUGAGAUCUUAGAUAGUUGUUUCAUCUUCAAUCACCAAUACUACCUCGUACAACACUUCAACUCAUCAGUUAUCAACUAUCAUUACGGUAAUUCAAUAAUUCCUAAAAUUACAUGUUUCUUUGUGGAAAUUCACGUAUCUCGCUGUUUUCGAUCUUUAAUUUUCUAUUGUUUUCUUUGGUAUUAUGAGUUUUAAUUAUUCAGUUUAGUCUAAUCAGGAACAGAAAACGUGUUAAAUAUUGGAAGUUGAAUUAUGAUCCUUCUGUGUAAUGCCUAAUUUCAGAUUCAGUGCAAUUCCCUAACCGGUUGCACUGUGAUUGAUGAUUUUGGAGACAAAUUGGUUAGUGUUUCCUCUACAUUUUUAGGUAAUAACGUUUUCAAUCACUCAUAGGACCACAUGGAAAUCUGGUUCUUCAUUUUUGUCUAUUUAAUAAGCACAAUGAAUUCUUAAUGCACGAACUAGGAAAUAAUCCACAACCCUUUGCUGAAAUAUUUGUAUAAUCAUCAGUUUCAUGGCCACUUUCUUCUUCUUCUUGUUCCUCUUCUCGGUAUUGAUCGGUGAAUGGUAUAAUAUCAAGGAUAUUUCUGUAGUUAACAAAGGUUUUCUUUUCCUCACUAACCAAUUUGGUGCUAGGUUGUUCUAACAGAACAUAUUGUUGUUUUCUUGGAGCAUGUUGAGGUGGUUUUAAAGUCAUAGCCUUUGCUGCUGGUAAAUACCGAUUUAUCAUGAAAUCUUGAGAUUGUUUAUCAGUAGAACUGGUUUUACUUCUACACUUGUUUGCAUCCAAAUUAUCCAAACCAUUUUCACUACACUUCAUAGAUAAUGAAGACAGUGUUUCUAAGGCAUAGGUUAAUCUAUAUCAACAUUUGUCCACAUUAUUCAAUGCUUAAUUUCAAUUUUGUUUAGUUCUUUAAUUUUCUUCUGAUUUAGUGUUUAUUGUCUGUUGUUUCUUUGAACAUUUUCAAUUUGCAACUUGCUUUAAUUGCAGAUACAUUUUUUUCCUAAGAUUUGAGUCUAUUGUCAAGUUGAAGAAAGCCAAAGAGUUCACAUUGCCGCCUUUGCUACUUAUAUAAAGAAAAGGAUUGCAAAUGCAAGUUUCAUUUUUAAAAUUUCACAAUUUUAAAAAUGGCAGAGACAGAUUCGAACGGAGACGCGUCCUCCUCG